rnacentral:rRNA from 1 species
GACGAACGCUGGCGGCGUGCCUAAUACAUGCAAGUCGAGCGGAAUGAUGAAGAAGCUUGCUUCUUCUGAUUUUAGCGGCGGACGGGUGAGUAACACGUGGGCAACCUACCUUGUAGAUUGGGAUAACUCCCGGAAACCGGGGCUAAUACCGAAUAAUCCAUUUCGCUUCAUGGCGGAAUGUUAAAAGGCGGCUUUUAGCUGUCCCUGCAACAUGUGCCCGCGGCGCAUUAGCUAGUUGGUAGGGUAACGGCCUACCAAGGCGACGAUGCGUAGCCGACCUGAGAGGGUGAUCGGCCACACUGGGACUGAGACACGGCCCAGACUCCUACGGGAGGCAGCAGUAGGGAAUCUUCCACAAUGGACGAAAGUCUGAUGGAGCAACGCCGCGUGAGUGAAGAAGGUUUUCGGAUCGUAAAACUCUGUUGUAAGGGAAGAACACGUACGAGAGUAACUGCUCGUACCUUGACGGUACCUUAUUAGAAAGCCACGGCUAACCACGUGCCAGCAGCCGCGGUAAUAC